UACAGAGGUCCCAAGCGUUGUUCGGAUUCACUGGGCGUAAAGGGUGCGUAGGUGGUCGGGUAAGUUUGAUGUGAAAUCUCCGGGCUUAACCCGGAAACUGCAUUAAUACUAUUCGGCUGGAGGGUUGGAGGGGGGACUGGAAUUCUCGGUGUAGCAGUGAAAUGCGUAGAUAUCGAGAGGAACACCAGUGGCGAAGGCGAGUCCCUGGACAACUCCUGACACUAAGGCACGAAGGCCAGGGGAGCAAACGGG
rnacentral:rRNA from 1 species